rnacentral:tRNA from 1 species
GCCUUCGUGGUGUAGUGGUCAGCACGCUGGGCUGGUAUUCCAGAGGCUCGUGGUUCGAGUUUCGGCGAAGGCA